AGUGGCCUACAAGAUGAUCUGUACAAUGUAUACAACAAUAUGAAGACCUCUAAGAAAUUCUAGGAUGCUUUAGAAAAGAAGUACAAAAUAGAGGAUACCAAAAGUUCACCAAGCGAAUCAAAAAACCGCUAAAUCUAAUAUUGGCGAAUUAAAAGUUCACUUGUGAGAGUGGAUUUGUUUUGUUUGGGAAAGUGAUUUUGAUUUUAUUAUGAGAGUUAGAAUGUUGUCGAAUACAU
rnacentral:lncRNA from 1 species